rnacentral:rRNA from 1 species
GUGUCCUACGGGGCGCAGCAGUGGGGAAUAUUGCACAAUGGGGGGAACCCUGAUGCAGCGACGCCGCGUGAGUGAAGGAGUAUUUCGGUAUGUAAAGCUCUAUCAGCAGGGAAGAAGAUGACGGUACCUGACUAAGAAGCCCCGGCUAACUACGUGCCAGCAGCCGCGGUAAUACGUAGGGGGUAAGCGUUAUCCGGAUUUACUGGGUGUAAAGGGAGCGUAGACGGCAGGGCUAGUCUGGAGUGAAAUCCCGGGGCCCAACCCCGGGACUGCUUUGGAAACUGCCAUGCUGGAGUGCUGGAGUG